AACGAACGCUGGCGGCAUGCCUAACACAUGCAAGUCGAACGGGAUCCUAGCUUGCUAGGUGAGAGUGGCGGACGGGUGAGUAACACGUGGGAAUCUGCCUUUUGGUUCGGGAUAACCGCGGGAAACUGCGGCUAAUACCGAAUGCCCUCGAGAGAGGAAAGAUUUAUCGCCAGAAGAGGAGCCCGCGUCCGAUUAGGUAGUUGGUGGGGUAAAAGGCCUACCAAGCCGACGAUCGGUAGCUGGUCUGAGAGGAUGAUCAGCCACACUGGGACUGAGAUACGGCCCAGACUCCUACGGGAGGCAGCAGUGGGGAAUAUUGGACAAUGGGGGCAACCCUGAUCCAGCAAUGCCGCGUGAGUGAUGAA
rnacentral:rRNA from 1 species